CCGAGUUUACAACUCCCAAACCCCUGUGAACAUACCACUUGUUGCCUUGGCGGAUCAGCCCGCUCCCGGUAAAACGGGACGGCCCGCCAGAGGACCCCUAAACUCUGUUUCUAUAUGUAACUUCUGAGUAAAACCAUAAAUAAAUCA
rnacentral:misc_RNA from 1 species